rnacentral:rRNA from 1 species
CCUACGGGAGGCUGCAGUGGGGAAUAUUGGGCAAUGGGCGCAAGCCUGACCCAGCAACGCCGCGUGAAGGAAGAAGGCUUUCGGGUUGUAAACUUCUUUUAAGAGGGAAGAGCAGAAGACGGUACCUCUUGAAUAAGCCACGGCUAACUACGUGCCAGCAGCCGCGGUAAUACGUAGGUGGCAGGCGUUGUCCGGAUUUACUGGGUGUAAAGGGCGUGCAGCCGGGAAGACAAGUCAGAUGUGAAAGCCCGCGGCUCAACCGCGGAACUGCAUUUGAAACGGUUUUUCUUGAGUACCGGAGAGGUCAUCGGAAUUCCGUGUGUAGCGGUGAAAUGCGUAGAUAUAAGGAAGAACACCAGUGGCGAAGGCGGAUGACUGGACGGCAACUGACGGUGAGGCGCGAAAGCGUGGGGAGCAAACAGGAUUAGAUACCCCAGUAGUC